CACCGGGCGAGGAGCUCAAGCCCCGCCCCCCGGGGUCCUCCAGCCCCCACCUCGCCCCUCUCUAUGGUCCCUCUCUAUGGUCUCGGGGCCCACAACUCUAUGGUUAAGGCCCCCCCGACUCUAUGGUGCCCUCAACCCGGAAGUCCUCCCUAUCCAGCCCGGAGGCCUCUCUAUGGUCGCGGCCCCUACGUCACUCCGGUACCGGCCGCGCCUCUCUAUGGUCCCACCGGUCCCGGGCUCCUCCAGCCCCCCCUCCCUCGUCUCUAUGAUCCCUGCGCCCCUCUAGGCCGCCCCCCAUCGUCUCUAUGAUCCCCGGGCCCCUCUAGGCCCCCUCCCUCAACUCUAUGAUCCCGGUACCGGGCCCCUCUAGCCCGCCCCCCAUCGUCUCUAUGAUCCCCGGGCCCGGGCCCCUCUGCCCUCUCCCCCCGGCCCCUCUCUAUGACCCCGGGGGCGGCCCCCGGGCCCUCACCCGGCUCCUUCGGCCUCUCCCGGGCUCUCCCAGCACUUCCGCCAAUGCAGUGACGUCACCGGGUGCUUGGUCACGUGACGAGGGGGGGCCGGUACCGCGACCCCGCCCUCCCGGAAGUCAAUAUUGGCCCCCCUCCUACGUCACUUCCUUUCCGUGGGGAGAGACGAGUUCGGCCAGAGCGGCACUUCCGGCCUCCACAGGGGCCUCUGGAGGACUGGGGAACUGGGAGGACUGGGAGGAUACUGGGAUAUACUGGGACAGACUGGGAGGGCGCUGGGACCGACUGGGCAGUGACUGGGAUAUACUGGGUUGUACUGGGCGCAGAAAAAUCAGCGCACAUCGCACCCACUGGGGCGAACUGGGCCAUACUGGGAGCACUGGGAGAGGGUACUGGGGCAUACUGGGAGCUCUGGGAGAAGGAACUGGGGUUACUGGGUGUGCUAAGAUGGGUAACUGGGCCAUACUGGGAGCACUGGGAGAGGGAACUGGGGUUACUGGGAGCACUCAGACAGGGAACUGGGCGUACUGGGAGCUCUGGGAGAACGAACGGGGGUUCCUGGGUGUGCUAAGAGGGGUAACUGGGCCAUACUGGGAGCACUGGGACAAGGAACUGGGGCACCUGGGGAGCAGCAGAACAUACUGGGAGGCACUGGGAGGCACUGGGAGCAGGACCAGGCACACUGGGAGGCACUGGAGUGAGGAAAUGGGGCAUACUGGGAGGCACUGGGUAUACUGGGGAGCACUGGGUGCGAACUGGAGCAGACUGGGGGGACUGGGCAGAGAGACUGGGAGGCAGUGGGUGUACUGGGGUGUACUGGGAGAGGGAACUGGGCAUACUGGGAGCUCUGGGAGAGGGUACUGGGGCAUACUGGGAGCUCUGGGAGAGGAAAUUGGGGUUACUGGGUGUGCUGAGAUGGGGAAAUGGGCAUACUGGGAGCCUUCAGACAGGGAACUGGGCAUACUGGGAGCUCUGGGAGAGGGAACUGGGGUUACUGGGUGUGCUGAGAUGGGGAAAUGGGCAUACUGGGAGCACUCAGACAGGGAACUGGGCAUACUGGGAGCCUUCAGACAGGGAACUGGCCAUACUGGGAGCCCCCAGACAGGGAACUGGGCAUACUGGGAAUGCAAACUGGUCGCACUGGGAGCGGGAACCGGUCCCACCAACCCCUCCUUGAACCCCCCCCUACCC
rnacentral:lncRNA from 1 species